rnacentral:rRNA from 1 species
UCGAACGAGAAAGUGGAGCAAUCCAUGAGUAAAGUGGCGCACGGGUGAGUAACACGUGACUAACCUACCCUCGAGUGGGGGAUAACCUGGGGAAACCUUGGCUAAUACCGCAUAACACCUACGGGUCAAAGGAGCAAUUCGCUUAAGGAGGGGGUCGCGGCAGAUUAGUUAGUUGGCGGGGUAAUGGCCCACCAAGACAGUGAUCUGUAUCCGGCCUGAGAGGGCGCACGGACACACUGGAACUGAAACACGGUCCAGACUCCUACGGGAGGCAGCAGUGGGGAAUUUUGCGCAAUGGGGGAAACCCUGACGCAGCAACGCCGCGUGGAGGAUGAAGUCCCUUGGGACGUAAACUCCUUUCGACCGGGACGAUUAUGACGGUACCGGAAGAAGAAGCCCCGGCUAACUUCGUGCCAGCAGCCGCGGUAAUACGAGGGGGGCGAGCGUUGUUCGGAAUUAUUGGGCGUAAAGGGUGCGUAGGCGGUUCGGUAAGUUUUGUGUGAAAUCUUCGGGCUCAACUCGAAGCCUGCACAAAAUACUGCCGGGCUUGAGUGUGGGAGAGGUGAGUGGAAUUUCCGGUGUAGCGGUGAAAUGCGUAGAUAUCGGAAGGAACACCUGUGGCGAAAGCGGCUCACUGGACCACAACUGACGCUGAUGCACGAAAGCUAGGGGAGCAAACAGGAUUAGAUACCCUGGUAGUCCUAGCCCUAAACGAUGAUCGCUUGGUGUGACGGGUACCCAAUCCCGCCGUGCCGAAGCUAACGCGUUAAGCGAU